rnacentral:lncRNA from 1 species
ACAAAUCUAAAUAAAUAAAUAAAUAAAUAAAGUAAAUAAAAAUGAGAAAACAAAAGAAAAUAAAUUAGAAAAAAGAUGUCUUAAUAAGAAGACCAAAAUUGGGCCAUCUGUGCUCAUUUAUACCUAGCCAAACCAAUUAAAACCCACCCCCAUCCAACCCAGAUCCCCAACCCGGUCCGCCUCAGUAGUAAACAAAAUGAUGCCGUAUGGCGUCGAUCAAUCCAGGUCGUCGAGGUACUGGGAUAAAAUCGCCGAGAAUCUCCCUCCCAAUGAAUAUAACUGCCCGAGAAUCAACCCACCACCUUUCAGACCCCCCGAAUCGUCUCUAACUCAAACCCUAAAUAAUCAGCAACCUCUGUAAUGCCACCAACGCCGCCUCCGGCGAAUACACAACAAUCAACGUUGACUACCAAAAUAACACCCCUAUAUAGCAUAAUGUCCUCAUCACAAAUCCCAUAUUAUCUUCUUUCGAACUAUCAGAAGCCUUCAAAUAAUCAAAUUGGUGUUGUCGUCUCCACUGCCCACGGUGGCGACACCGCCCAAACAGCCCCAAAUUUACACCACCAUACCUCCUCACUCUUCGCUCCCCAAAUCCACCCUUAAUAUGCUUCGAAUCAGUACCAAACCUCUCAAAUACCGGAUCGAAAAUCUGGUCAAACUGUUGUAAUGCCCUAAGUCUUCAAAGGGCCCCAAAUUCACACAUCGAGCCCUCUCAAAACCUCCACAUGAUGAAUUUCAAGUAUGAAUCCCUCAAACCCAUGUAGAAUCCCACGAGCCUUAACCCUAGGGUCUGAAGAACCUUAUUUCAUGUAGUCGUUCAAGCUGGUUUAAUUAGUGAGUGUCUCUUCUCAUUUAUUUUUAUUUUUCUUUAGUUUUGGAUUUAUUAGAUGAUUCGUGCUUUCACUGAUAAACAAAAAUUGUUUAAAGUCUGCAGAAUAUUAAUUGAUAGUCUAGUUUAAUUUCAUUCUAAUUCUGCCUGUUAUUGUUAGCUAAAUGCCUAGGUAUAAUGUGAGGUAGUAAUUGCUUAGUUUAAUUCUUAGAUUAAUUUUCAUUUUUAUUUAAUUCUAAGUUGAUUUUCGUUCUAUUGGAGUAUAUGUUCAAUCGCUAGUUAGUUCAAUCAAUCAGUUGUUAGUUUAAUUGGGUUUGAUUCAGUUUGAUGUACCUGUUUUCCUUUUGAUAACAAUGUGGUCAUUUGGUGGAAAUUUGAUUAGGAUUCUUUGUUUUUGUAAUAAUUGAUUUUGCAUGUUAAGUUAGUAGUUUAGUAGUAAUUGAGUAAUUAGUAUUUGUUCUAUGAGUUCAAUAUUUGAUUAAAUAGUUAUUCGAAUUAUGUUAGCUAAUUUGAUUACAGCUAGGUAAAUUAAAUUUUCAAUUAGUCAUGGAUUGGGUUUAGUUAAUGUUAAUAAUUUCAGGGAAUCUUCAGGGGCACUUUGGGCACCUAAAAUGGUUAGUUUGUUAAGACAUGGAUUUUAGAACUCAAGUAAGGGUACUAUAGGCAUUCCGUAAGUAGGCAAACAAAUUUAGAACAUAUAUCUCCUACUCUAUACAAAACUCUGUCCAAAAACUAUGAUUACCUCUAUGAAGUAGAUAUCCUACCCGAUGAACAAAAAGUAUCCUCCACUGAACUACCCUUUAUAAACCCCUACUCAGCUUUUGCCAAAAAAUCCUUUGCACCCUAGACCCAAAUCCGUUCCUUGGUCCAACUCAGACCAAAAGGAUUCAAAGAAUAUGUUGCUCAGCAACUCUGAAGAUAGACUGAGAGCAGUUAAUUUGUUUAUAGACGUAUUCCUUCUAGAAGGGGUCUUAGUGAAAGUUUCAGCUUUUUAAAAGCCGUAACUUGAGAAACAAGUCAAUACUUUAGGUUUAAGGUGAAAUUUCUAAAAAUAAAAAGUGGGGAAAAUAAGGAAACACUUCCAGAACAUUCUGCCCCCUUCCUUACCUAUAAAAGGCAGCCCUAGUACCUUGAUUAAGGAGUUUGAACCCCAAAAAUUCCCCCAAAACCCUUGGCUGCAGAUCUGAAUCUCAGAUUUGAAUUUCCGAUUCUAAUUAAGUCUAGUAUCUCAAAAACAAAACAAAAAUAGAAAAAUCUUCAAAAAAAUCGAAAAAUCAAACUAUUCCAUUGGUUUGUGUUUUAGUUUCAAGUUUAGUUGUUAGUUUGGAUUCUCUCAUUUCCGUGUUUGGUAGCUGAAAGUCAGAAACUACUUUGAAUUGGCUUAUCAAUUCAUAUUGGUAUUUAAUUGGAUUAGUGGAUGUUUGUUUCUGAUUGUUGGUUGUAUUCUGGGUUUAGUUUUGAGUUAAAUUGGUUUAUUCAAGCUGUGUGGGAGAUUUAUGGUUAUCUAUUUGGUUUCAAGCUAUUCCUGGAUUGAUGGAAUUAGAUUGGGGGUUAUUGUUGAUUUGUGCCCAUUACUGCUGCUGUGGAUUGACAAAAUACCAGUUAACUGUUCGUUGCUGAUCUCCCCAUCUUUUGUUGUAACUUCAUCCUCAGGUACACAGCUUUGACCUUGAUGAUUGUAAACUGAAGAAUGAAUCUAUGUGACAAUCGAAGCAUGAAAUUUGAUUUAGUUUCAAUUUCAUACUUGUGUAUUCGAGCACUCGUUCGUUAAUGUUAUUCAGACCUUUGAUUUUUAUUAUAUGCAUUGGACUAUAAUUGAAUGAUUUGGACUGUUAUUUGAACUUUCAAAUUUGUAGUAAUAGAUCAAACUCUAUAAUUGUAUAGUCAUAGAGAUUUGAAGAGUUUGAAGUAUUUUACAAAUUGUAUUCAGUGUACUAUGAGCUAUAUUUGUAAACUCCCUAUCAGUGUAUUUAUUAACUUGAGAACUUUUUGAAGGCCAGUUAAAAUGAGCAUUAAUGUGUGAGUUGUAGUUAACUUAGUUAGUUUGUUAGUUUAGACAUUCAAAACUGAAGAUAACUUGAACUGGAAAUUGGCUUAGGAAUUUGAUGUGCACUUUUGUUGAUGACUGAGUAUUCAAAAUGUUAGGAGUAAAUAAUUUUGCAUGUCAUUUGAUAAAGUAAGUUCAUAAUAAAUUAUAGUUUUGAAGUAAUAGCUAGUCAGUGAUUAAUUCCUGAAUUUAAGAUGGCAUGAGUAGCUUGCAGUAGUGCAUGAUUUUUAAUUCUAACGCUGUCUAAGUUUGAUUUGGGAAUCGACGUUGUUUAAAUACUUCAGACUAAUCAACGUUGAUUAUAAUUGAACUUAAAUCAGAAAGGCAUGAUCUUCAUAGGCACAAAUUAUCACUGAUCUUGUAGACACAAUUAACAAAAAUUCAUUUGUGAGGAACCAAUAAGCUCACCUGAAAUGCGUGUACUUUUGUUGAUUGUGUAUUUGACUCCAAAGAUGCUAGCUCAGCCUGAAAUUAGAUUGGGCCUGCAUUUGAAUGUAUGUAACAUUGUGAAUAAGCUUGGACGUUGCCUAUUAAUGUGGUUAAGUUCAGACACUUUUUAAGUUGGAGCUUAAGGUUUUGAGUCCUUCAAUUAAUUAGGGUCUUUUCUUUAAUUUUUUGAGACAAAAAAAAUAGAAAAUCAUAGUCACUUUAGGAUUUCCCUUUAAAUAAAAUGAGAUGAGCCUCACCAGAUAAAAAGUGCAAAAUUGCGGGGUUCAAAAAUAUAUAUAAAAUAAUACUUAGAAUUAGGGAUGGGCCAUUUAGCAAAUUUUAUGGCCCUCCUCAAAGAUAAUAAAGCGUUAGUCACUUUAAGCGCAUUUUUAAUAAUUUACUUUCUUAAACUCAGGUGCGCAUUUAUGUGACCCUAAUCCAAAUCUCAAUGGAGUCGAAAUGUAUCAACAACCACGUGUGCAUUGAUAUGACGUGGUUCGAGAUGCGUUUUCACGACGUUGCAAGUCUCGUUAAAAAUAAUAAUGAUAAAAGUGUUUCAAAACUGAAAAGCACAUAAGCUAAAACAUAUUUUGAAAUCAGAUAAAUCCAAAUAUAACAGUUGAGUGACCGUGCUAGAACCACGGAACCUGGGAAUGCCUAACACCUUCUCCCAGGUUAACAGAAUUCCUUACUCGGAUUUCUGGUUUGCGGUCUGUUAACAGAGUCAUAUUUUCCUCGGUUCGGGAUUCAACCGGUGACUUGGGACACCAUUAAUCUCCAAGUGGCGACACUGAACUUUAAUAAUUAAAUUCUGUUCCGAUUGUCCUUUAAGUGGAAAAACUAUUUUACACCCUUGCGGGUGUAGUGAAAAAGGAGGUGUGACAGCUCUGGCGACUCUGCUGGGGAUCAAACCCAGAACUUCGGGAUUCCGGUAGAUCCACGCGCACUAUGAGUUGGACUAGGAGAUGGUAUCCCAGGAGGUACACUAGAUAAUUAUAUUUGGGACUACAUGAUGGUAUCCUGGGAGAUCCUCGGUUGUUAUCUCUGAGUUGAAUUAUACUCUUUUCUAUGAUUAUUUUGUCUCUAUUAUAGUUCUUGUUGUUCCUUCUAUUCUAUGUUAUUUAUUACUGUUGCACUCAUUCUAUAAAGUUAUACCUUAUAUUUCAUUUAUUCUCAGUAGGGCCCUGAAAAUCCUCGUCACUACCUGAUCAAGGUUAGGCACGACACUUAAUGAGUACCAUUGUGGUGUACUCAUGCCUUUUCUGCACAUGUUUUUCAUGUGCAUAUCCAGGUACUUCCACUCAGCCUUAUCAUACUUGAGCAAGGCUCUUUUGUAGAUACUUCGAGGUAUAUCAGCCAGUCCGCAGACCGAGGAGUCCAUUUCUAUCCUCGGUACUAGUAUAGCCAUUCUGUAUUAUCCUUGUUGAUAGACAUUUCUGGAGUUAGAGUUUUUUAUGUAAACUCUUAGCUUGUGAUUCAUGGAGUUCUGUAUUUUGGGAGUGUUAGGUUGAUAUUUUUUUACUGUUAUAUGCCAGGCGACAUCAUAAACAUUGUUUCAUUUUAUUAUCUUAGUUUUUAAUUAUUUACUUUCCGCAACUAUUUCUUUCCACAUUUGUUAGGCUUACCUAGUCGUAGAGACUAUCACGAUAGUUUACAGGGGGCGACUUGGGGUGGUCAGAAAUUGGUAUUAGGGCUCGAGGCUCAUAUGAGUCAUGUAUCUCAAGCCAAUUAUUUAGAGUCUCGCGGAUCGGUACGACAACGUUUGUACUUAUCUAUGAGAGGCUAUGCAACUUUUAGGAAAAAUUCCAUUUCGUUUGAUUUUAUUAUCAUGCUAGAUUUUUGAUAUCACAAUUCUAAUUUUCUGUCUUCUAUUCUCUCAUAGAUGGUGAGGACACAUGCAACCCAAGAUGAUCAGGAACCCGUGCCCACUACUGUAGCCGUCAGAGGUCGGGGCAGGGUAGAGGUCGAGGACGCGCACGUGGUGCAGCCAGAGCUCCUGCACGAGCUGCUGCCGAGGAGCCAACAGCAGUUUCCAGCCAGAUCCCAGGCACCUGAUAUGCCUACUUCUACUAGUACUCCAACACUUUAGGAGACUCUAUCAUUGUUCAUGAGUUUGUACACCAUUUUGGCUUAGGCAGGAUUACUUCCCCUUGAUGUAGCAAAAUCCCAGGUCGGGGGAGGAACACAGACUCUGCCUCCUACACUCCUGAGCAGUGAGUGCAUGUAGAUCACUCCUAGAGAUUAUUCUGGAACAACAUGCAUCCCCAGAUCAGCCCGAGGACAAGGCAUCACUCUUCGAGGAUGAGUAGAUGUGGGUUGAGAGGUUCAAGAAGCACAAGCCUCCUGUAUUCAGUGGUCUAGCAUCAGAUGAUGCUCUAGGAUUUCUAGAUGAGUGCUACCGUAUUCUCUGUACCAUGGGUAUAUUAGGAAUAAGCGGGAUUUCCUUCACCGCUUUCCAGCUUCGAGGAGCUACCUAUGAGUGGUGGCAUAUUUAUGAGUUAGACAGUCCCGAUAAGGAAGCUUCUCUGACUUGGACUCAGUUUUCAGAUGUGUUCCUAAGAGAGUAUGUUCCUCAUAGCCUCAGGGACGUAUCAUGUCCAAAGUUUGAGCAUAUACACCAGGGUGCUAUGAUUGUCUCGCAGUAUGCUAUUCAUUACAUCAGCUUGGCUAGACACGAACCAGCUUUGGUUUCUACUAUUCGCGGGAGGGUUCACCGAUUUAAUUGAGGGGUUUAUUCCCAACAUCAGGUCUAUCCUGACUCGUGAGUUCGAUCUGAAUAUUUCUUAUCAGUAGGUGGUAAGCAUUGCUUGGAGGAUCAAGCGUAUGCAUGCUAGGGAUAGAAAGGAGAGAGAGGCCGAGAAGUCUCAAGAGUACCAUUUUUCUGGUGCUCGUGCCCCAGCUGUAGGUUAUCAUGGUAGGUGUUACAUAAAUUACCCUUUUCAUUCAGCUCUCACAGCAGCCAUUGGUAUCCUAGCUUCUCCUAGGCCUUAGGAACCUUAUUAUGCACCUCUAGUAUCUAGUGUGCCUCCUGCACGGGGUGCUUUUAGUGGUCAGUCCAACAGAUCUAUCCCGAGCAAGUCAUAGGCGCCACGUCCUCCUAGAGAAUGUUUUGAAAAUGAUGGUACAUUUCAUAUGGUGCGAGAUUGCCCCAAACUUAGGAGGGGGAGAAACUCUAUUAACUUCUUAGCCACAGCGUGCCUCGCGCAGUUCUCAGGCUUUGGUUACAGCUCCAGUUGCUAACCCACCAGCUCAGCCAGCUAGAGGUGGAGGUCGAGGAGGUAGGAGUCGCCCUAGAAGGGGAGGCCAGGCGAGAUAUUAUGCCCUUCCUGGUCGUACCGAGGUUGUUGCCUCUGAUUCAAUAGUCACAAGUAUGGCCUUGGUUUGUCAUAGAGAUGGAUCAGUUCUAAUCGAUCCAGGCUCCACUUAUUGAUAUGUGUCUUCUUAUUUUGCUUCGCAAUUGGGUGUAUCUCAGGAUUCUUUGAGUUCCCUUGUUUAUGUUUAUACUCCUGUAGGAGAUUCUCUUGUUGUGGACCAGAGCCGAUUUAUUGUUGCUUAGCAUGGUAGAUUUUAAUAUUAUCUUGGGCAUGGACUGAUUCUCUCCCCAUUAUGAUAUUCUUGAUUUUAAUUCCAAUACCAUGAUGCUGGCUAUGCCAGGUGUACCACGUGUUAAGCGUAGGGGUGCUUUAGAUCACACUCCUAGUAGAGUUAUUUCUUUUCUUAAGGCUCAGCAAAUGGUUGAGAAGGGGUGUGACGCAUAUCUAGCUUAUGUGAGAGAUGUCAGUAUUGAUACCCUUACAGUUGAUUUAGUGCCAGUAGUACGGGAUUUUUCUGUGUGUUUCUAUCUGAUCUUCUGGGUGUGCCGCCUGAUAGAGAUAUUGAUUUUGGUAUUAACCUGUUGCUGGGUAGUCAGCCCAUUUCUAGUCCUCCAUAUCAUAUGGAUCCUUCUGACUUGAAUGAGUUAAAGGAUCAGUUACAGGAAUUGCUUGAUAAGGGUUUUAUUAGGCCUAGUGUAUCACUGUGGGGUGCUCUUGUCUUGUUUGUGAAGAAGAAGGAUGGUUCUAUGCAUAUGUGCAUUGAUUAUCGUUAGUUGAACAAAGUUACAAUGAACAAUCGUUAUCCUUUUCAUUGUAUUGAUGAUUUGUUUGAUCGGCUAUAGGGUGCACAAGUGGUUUCUAAGAUUUACUUGCGUGCAGGUUACCAUCAGUUAAAGAUUCGGGAGACUGAUAUCCUGAAGACUGCGUUCAGGACUCGUUAUGGUCAUUACAAGUUUCUUUUUAUGUCAUUUUAGUUUACCAAUGCCCUAGCAGCCUUUAUGUAUUUGAUGCACAGUGUGUUCCGACUAUAUCUUGACUCGUUCGUCAUUGUCUUUAUUGAUGAUAUUCUGGUGUAUUUCGGGAGUCGGGAAGAUCAUGAGCAGCACUUGAGGACAGUGAUCCAGACUUUGAGAGAGAAGAAAUUAUAUGCUAAGUUCUCAAAAUGUGAGUUUUGGUUGGAUUAUGUGGUAUUCUUGGUCACUUGGUUUCUAAUGAGGGGAUAAAAGUUGAUCCGAAUAAAUUGAAAGCAGUGCAGAGUUGUCCCAGACCAUCUACAGCUAUAGAGAUCUGCAAAUUUCUUGGCUUGGCGGGUUACUACCGUCGAUUUGUUGAGGGGUUUUCAUCUAUUACAGUGCCUAUGACCAGGCUGACCUAGAAGGGUGCUCUGUUCCAGUAUACGGAAGAGUGUGAGGCAAGCUUUCAAUAGCUCAAGACUGAUUUGACAACAACCUAGUUUUAAUAUUGCGUAGAGGUUCGGGGUCUUAUACUGUCUAUUGUGAUGCCUCGAGAAUUGGCCUUAGAGCGGUAUUGAUGCAAGAUGGUAGUGUGACUGCCUAUGCAUCCAACAAGUUAACAGUACAUGAGAUGAAUUAUCUUGUCCAUAAUCUCGAGUUAGCUGCUAUUUUUCACGCGUUGAAGAUCUAGCCCCAUUAUUUGUACGGUGUGCCUUGUGACAUUUAUACUGAUCACGGGAGUUUGCAGGAUUUGUUCAUGCAAAAUGACCUUAAUUUGCAUCAGCUAAUGUGGUUAGAGUUGUUGAAGGACUAUGAUAUCACUUUUUUAUCACCCGGUCAAGGCUAAUGUGGUGGCCGAUGCUUUGAGUCAUCGGGCAGAGAGUUUGGAAAGUUUGGCUUAUUUACCAACAGCGGAGAGGCCCAUGGUGAUGGAUGUUCAGGACUUAGCCAGCCAGUUUGUGAGAUAGGAUCUUUUGGAGCCCAGUCGGAUUCUAGCUUUCAUGGUUUCUCAAUCUUCAUUAUUUGAUCGUAUCAGGGAGCGUCAGUUUAAUGACUCUCAUUUGCUUGUCCUCCAGGACAAGUUUCAGCACAGUGAUGCCAAAGAUGUGACUAUUGGUGAUGAUGGGGUAUUGAGGAUGCUAGAUCGGAUUUGUGUAACAAAUGUCGAUGGGCUUUGGGAGUUGAUUAUAUAGGAGGCCCAUAGUUCACAGUAUUCCAUUCAUCUGGGUGCCGCGAAGAUGUACCAGAAUUUGAGGCAGCACUAUUGGUAGAGGCGAAUGAAGAAAGAUAUAGUUGGUUUUGUAGCUGGGUGCCUCAAUUGUCAGCAAGUGAAGUAAGAGCACCGGAGACCGUGCAAUAUACUUCAGCAGAUAGAGAUUCUAGAGUGGAAGUGGAAGUGGGAGCGGAUCACCAUAGACUUUGUAGUUGGGCUCCCACGAAAUUUGAGGAAGUUCAAUGCCAUUUGGGUAAUUGUGGAUCGGCCGACCAAGUCCGCGCAUUUUAUUCUUGUGUGUACUACCUAUUCUUCAGAGCGUCUAGCGGAGAUUUAUAUCUGGGAGAUUGUUCCUCUGCAUGGUAUUCCAGUUUCCAUCAUUUCAGAUAGAGAUACUCACAUCAAGGUUCUGGAGGGUCGUACAACAUGAGGUGGGUAUUUGAGUGGAGUUGAGUACAAUAUUUUACCCUCACAUAGAUGGGCAGUCGAGCGGACUAUUCAGAUUAUUGAGGAUGGCUCUGUGCAUGUGUGAUUGAGUUUGGAGUGUCUUAGGAUCAGUUCUUGCCCAAUUGCGGAGUUUUCCUACAACAAUAGCUAUCAGCCUAUCAUUCAGAUGGCACCGUAUAAGGUUUUAUAUUGUAAGCAGUGUAGAUCCCCGGUGGGUUGAUUUGAGCCGGAUGAGGCUAGAUUAUUGGGCACAAACUUGGUUUAGGAUGCAUUAGAGAGAAUAAGGUGAUUCAAGAUAGACUCCAUACAGCCAAGUCCAGACAGAAGAGUUACGCGGACCGGAAGGUUCGUGUUUCCAUAUGGUUGGGGAGCGGGUUCUGCUUCAGGUUUCUCCUAUGAAGGGCGUUAUGAGAUUUGGUAAGAAAGGGAACUUGAGUACGAGUUUUAAUGACCCUUUUGAGAUAUUGAGGUAUGUUGCGGAGGUUGCUUAUAAGUUUUCCUUACCUCCCAGAUUCGCAGGAUUCCAUCCGGUAUUUCAUGUCUCAAUCCUCCAAAAGUAUCAUGGUGAUCCGUCGCACGUUUUGGAUUUUAGUUUAGUCUAGUUGGACAAGUAUCUAUCUUAUGGUGAAGAGACAGUGGCCACGUUGUACAGGCAUGUUCUAAAGCUAAGGUCAAAGAACAUUGCAUCAGUGAAGGUUCAGUGGCGGGGUCAGCCGGUCAAGGAGGCAACCUGGGAGACCGAGAAGGAUAUGCGCAACCGUUACCCUUAUUAGGGAAACGAAUUUCUAACUGUAGGAGUACGUAACGACCCGUCCAGUCGUUUAAAGAAUUUAUGCCCCGAUCCUUAUUAGGGAAUUGGAGAUUCGUAGCUUAUUUAGGGUUGACAUGCCGAAAGUUGAAUUUUUGAAGUUUAUAAUUUGAAUGUGAGAUUUUAAUAUUAGUGUCGGAAUGGGAUUCUGGAAGUUGGGUUAGCUCUAAUGUUGAAUGUGACGUGCUUGCAAAAUUUUAGGUCAUUCGGACGAGGUUUGAUAGAUGUUUUGAUCGAAAGAGUAAAUUGAUUGUUCUUAGGCUUGAAUCAAAUGUUAAAUUGGUGUUUUGAUGUUUUUUUGAGCUUUCCAAAGAUUGUAACAAGUUUGAAUGAUAUUUUAUGAUUGGUUGACAUGUUUGGUUGAGGUCCCAUGUGCCUCAGGUGCUUUUCGGAUGCUCAACGUGUCAUUUUUGGACUUAGGUAUGCAGCAGAUUUGCUGGUUUUUCUGUUACAGACUUUUGGCCUUUGCAUUCGCGAAGGGUUGAUUACCUUCGUGAAGGCUGUCCAGGGGAAGUAUAGUGAAUGCAAGGAGCAGAGCGCAUGCACAAAAAGGAAAGACUGAGCAAUUAUGGACCCCAUGGAAUUUCUCUAUGCUUUCGCGAGCAUUGGGUCGCGUUCGCGAAGGUCCUGGAGCUAAAGCUACGCGUUCGCAGGUGGACCCUCGCGUUCGCGAAAGAGAAAGUUGGCCAGUAGGAGUUUUGUGCAUCGCGUUCGUGAUUGUAGUCUCCCGUUCGUGAAAAAGAACGUGUCUGGGUAGAACUUAAAUUUCAAAUCGAGGGUCUUGAGUUCAUAUCAUAAAAUUGAAUUGGGUGCUUUGUAGGAGGUGAAUUUUGGAGAGAUUUUUGGAGGGAGUUUGUGGGCAAUGAUUUGUAUCCCUUGUUUGCUUAUAAUCCUUUAAUCUAAAGAUGAAUUAAUCAUCUAAUUUUGGAUUUGGGUUGAGAAAUUGGGCGGGGNNNNNNNNNNNNNNNNNNNNNNNNNNNNNNNNNNNNNNNNNNNNNNNNNNNNNNNNNNNNNNNNNNNNNNNNNNNNNNNNNNNNNNNNNNNNNNNNNNNNNNNNNNNNNNNNNNNNNNNNNNNNNNNNNNNNNNNNNNNNNNNNNNNNNNNNNNNNNNNNNNNNNNNNNNNNNNNNNNNNNNNNNNNNNNNNNNNNNNNNNNNNNNNNNNNNNNNNNNNNNNNNNNNNNNNNNNNNNNNNNNNNNNNNNNNNNNNNNNNNNNNNNNNNNNNNNNNNNNNNNNNNNNNNNNNNNNNNNNNNNNNNNNNNNNNNNNNNNNNNNNNNNNNNNNNNNNNNNNNNNNNNNNNNNNNNNNNNNNNNNNNNNNNNNNNNNNNNNNNNNNNNNNNNNNNNNNNNNNNNNNNNNNNNNNNNNNNNNNNNNNNNNNNNNNNNNNNNNNNNNNNNNNNNNNNNNNNNNNNNNNNNNNNNNNNNNNNNNNNNNNNNNNNNNNNNNNNNNNNNNNNNNNNNNNNNNNNNNNNNNNNNNNNNNNNNNNNNGGGGGGGGAAUUUGAAAAAGUUCAUAGACAUAAAUUUCAAGUUUUGAUUAGGAAUUAGACAUUGGAUUUGGAUAAUUUUUGUAUGGAUAGACUCGUGAGAGUAUGAGGAUUCUGAAAAUGUAAAUUAUAACUGAUUCUGAUAUGUGGGACUGGGGGUAUUUUUGUAAUUUUAUCUGAUUUCCCGUAUCAACAUAGAAUUUAUUUGUAGAAUUAGUUACUUGAAGUUAUAUUUAUAUUAUGCAAUUGAAUUAAAUAGAUUCGGUCCAUUUGGAGUCGAGUACUCGUGGAAAGAACGUGGUUUUGUGUUAAUUUUGUAUCGGUUUGAGGUAAGUGGCUUGCCUAACCUUGUGUGGGGUAAUUCCACUUAGGAUUUGGUAUUAUUGAUAUUUGAAAUUCCUUGUAGGGUGAGGUGAUGAGUACGUACUUGUGCUAAUUGUUGAAAAUCCGAUUUUUAUUAAGCAAUUAUCAUCGUGUUUUCUUUCCUAUUUAUACUACUCGUGAUUCAAUACAAUUGUUAGUUUGGGAAAGCAUGUCUAAUUUACUUAAUUGCUUUUAUUGCUCAAACUACCUAAUUUGGAUUAUGUGCAUUAUGCUAGGCUAGAAAUACUAGUUUUACCUUGGCAUAGACUUUUAGUUGAAUUAUGUGUUCUUCGUGUUGUUGCUGUGUGCUUACUUUGGGACUACGGAUUUAGAUUGCGGGAGAUCCCCCUGCACCUUUACAUUGAAACUACGGGACUGCACCCACUAGAUUCUCCCAGUACUGAGUAUUCAUAUUUGGGACUACGGAUCAGAAUUCUGGUAGAUACCCGCGCAUUAGUUGGACAAUGGGACGGUAUCCCGUAAGGUCCACUAGAUAAUUCUAUUUCGGACUACAGGACAAUAUCCUGGGAGAUCCCUAGUUAUUAUCUCUGAGUGGAGUUGUACUCCUUUCCAUGGUUAUUUUAUCUCUGUUAUAGAUAUUGUUGUUCCUUCUAUUCUGUGUUAUUUAUUACGGUUACACUUAAUGACAUUGUCUCAUUCUAUACUGUUAUACCUUAUAUUUCAUUUAAUAUCAAUAGGGCUCUGAAUUUCCUCGGCCCUACUCGAUCGAGCUUAUGCUUGGCACUUACUGAGUACCAUUGUGGUGUACUCAUGCCCUUUCUUCGCAUGUUUUUCAUGUUCAGAUCUAGGUACUUCCACUCAGUCUUAUUGUCACACCUCCUUUUUCCUUCACCCCCGAAAGGUAUAAGGGACUUUUUAAUUAAAGGACAAUCAAAACAGUAUUAUUAUUUAUGAAUCAAAGCCACCACUUGGGAUAAUUUGAUGGUGUCCCAAAUCAUCGGUUCAAAUCCCGACUCGAGGAAAAGGUUGACUCUGUUUUACAGUCCACAAAUACAGAAAUCCUGGUAAGGAUUCUACUAACAUGGAAGAAGGUGUUAGGCGUUCCCAAGUUUUAUGGUUCUAGCAUGGUCGCUCAACUGUUAUUAUUAUCCUAAUUAUCUUAUUAUAAAAUACUUUAAAACCUAUGUGCAUUUUAGCUUUAAAUCGCUUUAAAUUUUUUUAAGUAAGAGUUUAACGUCGGCUAAAAUAUAUUUUUUGGACUGCGCCACAAGAAAUUCACCCGCAAUCCGAAACACAUUUUAUUCAACAUUGUAUAGACUUGAAUGUAGAACACAUGAAGUGCACACUCGAAUUUAUGAAGGUAAUUUUAAUAUUAUGCCCCUACAGCAACUAUGCGGUUUUUUUCUAAACUUUGUGAGGGACAUGGAAAAUUUUAUGAAUGGCGCGCCUCGAGUUCUAAGGAUUUAAAAGAAAUAAUUAAAUUAGGACCACGUAUUUGAUAUUUUAUUUGGCACGGCGCACCUUAAAUCCAAUUUUUAAAGGAAAUUCAAAAUCAAACUCUUAAGGCCAUAACUAUAUUUGCUAAGAUGGCACACCUUAACUAAUUCUCCAAAAUUCCUUAUUUUAAAACCAUGAGGGUCAUAGACUAUCUCUACUAAUAUGGCAUACCCUGAAACUAAUUUAAUUGUAGUACUUCUAGCCCCCUUUUUAACAUGUUAUCUAAGCAAGAAAACUUUGCGUAAAAGAAACUAAACAGAAAGAAACAGAUAUGUUAUUAACUGGCUCGUACAAUUGCAACCAUGCGGGAUAAGAUAGAAGAAGGCAGGCCCAAUGCAAUGGAGGCCUGCAAAUCGACUUCAUGUAGUAUCUUGACCCAAGGCCCAAAGAAGGGUCUAAAUUUAGCAGUAAAUCCUGAAGAAGAAAAAAGACUCGAGUUCGAGUCCCCAGGUCAUGUAAGGAGAAUACCAAAUUAGAAAUGUGAUCCUAGCAAGGCCUUUGAUAACUAACUAUCCUUUGACAAUUGCGCUUCAGUUAAUUCUACAUGGGCAAUUAUGUCAAAUUUCCAGUACAAUUUGAGCCUAUUUUCAUGCGUAAUGUCAAAUAAAAUCUUAUGGGUCUAUCUAAUAGAUACAAGUCCUAACAUUAAAUGAAAACUAACAUGUUUUUGCAACAUAAAUAAAUCAAUGCACAGCCUGCCUUUUAAGGUAACUUGGAUCAUUUUCCCUUUCUUCUAGCACGACUUAUAUUGGUUACUACUUAAAAAGAAUUCAGUCCCUCAUUACAUGAAUGUGGAAAAAUUGAUCUACAAGGGAAUAUGCUGUAACAAUCAGAUACACUGCUUAGCAAGAGGAUACAUACACAAUCACACCAUUUAGCAUGAUCUAACUACAUAUGCAACCAAAUAAGCUAUGUACCAAUUUUUUUCAGAAUACUUUCAAAUAUUCAAUCUCGAACUACAGGAUACUUUCUAGAAGACUGAUCUCCCAUCAGAUAAUAUGCACUACAUCUUUCAGGUGAUAUUGACAUAAUCCAACAGAAUAUAAUGCAUCAUGCAAAAUCAGCAAAUAAAAAAUAAAUAAAACUAAGCUACUGAACAGAGCAAAUUGAAGUUGUGUUUGAACUCCCAAUUUUAUUUCAUACUUCAAACAAUCUUCACAUGAUAUAGGAUUCAAGAGCAAGUACCUGAUUAUAGCAAAAUAAACCAGAGAAACCAAAGUUGGAGUCAGUAAACAGCAACAGAAAAAUCAGCCUCCAAGAAUGACUAACAACAGGGAAAUCCACUUCUUCCCGCCAAGGAAAAACCCAGAUGAACAACAUACAAUAGCAAUCUGACUAGCUAAGAAUUUUUUAAAACAAAAUUGGACCAGCCUUGUCCAAAAAUGCAAGAAAUGCAUUAUUCUCUCGGAAUUCCUUAGGCUCAGCCAUUUUCCUUCAAAAUUUUCAUAGUGUUUUUUUCUUCUCUCUCAAUGAAUGGAAAGAAAACUUAUAUAGGCAUGCCAAGGGCGGCCCUAAUACAUCUAGCCAAUUCCCCAUUUACCCUUCCCUUUACAAAAAUAUCUGACACUUUCAACUCUUAUCAUAUUCUUUAGAACCUUCUAUCCUAAAAGAAUUUGAUUCCCCCCCCCCCUAUUGCGCGCACGCGCGCGCGCACACACAAGCACACACACACACGGUGACCUUACACUAACUGGUUAUUACAAUCUUUGCCCCUCCCCCCUAAGACCCCUCUAAGUUUCUAUACUUAGCAUUAACCCUCAUAUGGAUCCCUGA